UUUUUGUUUCUGUUUCAUGUAGGGGUUCUGUCUGAGCAGACAGCUAAGAGCAAAAGAAGUAGGGUCAGGCACAGGUAGGGUGACUCAGGUGAGUUGGCCCAGUUCCUGGGAGGAGAAAACUAGGAAGAAUGGGGAAUAAGUGGGGCUUGCUUCAUAAAUGUGAGAGGGCUAGGAAAAAAAAAUUCACCAAGAUAGUUUACCUGUCACAUGACAAGUGGGAGUUUGUAGAGAGAGAGAGACCGGAGAGCUGUGCAAAGUGGAUACUGGAGACAUACAGGUAAGAACAAAGGAAACAAACAAAAACCUAAAUACUUAAAAAAAAUAAAUAUUUUAGUCAUCCCUAGCCCACGAGGUCAAGGUCUGCCCAGAAGGCUGCCGACCAAUAACGCUCACCCUCCUGCGCCCGGUAGUGAGGACCUGGGACAAAUCGCAGUCUGUGUCUUCGUUACAAAAUUGCCAUCAUUGCCCAGUGGUCCAGUGACGUCACGGAAGAGGCCGAGGCUCAUUCUCCUCCCUCUAAUCACCCCCUCGCCAGUUAGCCAUGGAAUAGAAGAAAACAGCUUGGGGGGUGCGGGGAGGGUCUUCUCCAGCUGUAAUGCCAGCUAAGGUGCUUUGGUAGCAAAGCUGGGGGUGAGGAGGCACAGGCUCCUGGACGGAGCCAGGCUCCUGGACGGAGGCCGCUCAGAGUCUCUGCGGCGUCCGCUCGGUCCGCACGUGCUGCAGCACUACCUCCUUGGAAGGGGCCGCGCACUUGUACUCCAUCUUGGCCCUGGCGGCGCCCUGCUUCUUGCGCAGGUGGCAGAGGAGCGCCAAAAGCGCCACCACCAGGCACAGGCUCGCGAUGGAGAUGCCUAUGAGCAAGCCCGAAUGCACGAGCCCCACGGCCGGAGGAGUCAAGGUGGAGCCGGGCGUCGGGCUGGGCGGGGGCUCGCCAGAGCCGCUGUCGCCACCGUCCACCUUGCCGGAGUCACAGUCGGUGCCAAUGUGGCGGGCAAGGGCCGAGUCGGGCCCGCAGAUGCACUCGAAGGUACCGGGGAGGUUGUGGCACACCCCGGAGCAGAAGCCGCCGUUUUCGCACUCGUCGAUGUCCGUGCAGAUGAAACCGUCGUCCAGGAUGUAGCCUUCAGGGCACUCACAGCUAGCCUGGGUGUUGGGGUCGCAGUCGGCUGGACAGGCAGUCUGGUUGCAAAACAUCUGGCACCUGUGCGGCUCGUGGGGAAUGGGCGCGAAGCCCUCGGCGCAGACGCAGAGGUAGCUAGUUUGGUUCAGGGGCUGGCACUGGUACUCGCAGUUGGCUCUGAAGCACGGGUCCACGGGCUCCACACACUCGCCGUCCACCAGGUCGUAGUUAGGGUAGCAGUGGCACUCGAAGCCACCCUGUGUGUUGACACAGCGCUGCGGACACGGACUGGGCUCCAGUAUGCAGUCAUCCACGUCCUCGCACCGGUGUUG
rnacentral:lncRNA from 1 species